GGCCUCGUAGCUCAGCUGGUAGAGCAUGCGCGUACAAAGCGUAGGCGGCGUCCACCGAUGGGUUCGAAUCCCACUGAGGCUA
rnacentral:tRNA from 1 species